AAUACGUACUACACAUGUGAGUUGAAUUUGAUGGUUGGUGGUGAAUCUCCCAACUCCUCCAAAUGGCUGUGUGAAUUGAAUUUGAUGAUGAGACUGAGUGCACUUCGCAUGUGGAAAACUCGAUUUAAUAAUUUCGAAUCGCCAAAUCAAGAUGAGACGGGACGGACGGUCAGAGGUUGCAGCAGGACUACCAUAGGAAAGCCCGCCCUCGCUAGCUAACAUAGAAAGAAAUAGAUUUCCAGAUAGCGAUAGUCUCUAUGUGAAUCUCUUCCCGACCAGGGCAGGCUGAAUCUGGCCGUCCUUUGGGAUGGGAAUGGCCCAGCCCACAUGCAUCAUUUGAUGAAAGCACUGCAGUCCAGUCGCCUCCUCAAAGUGGCUUGUCAACCACGCCUGCCCUUUCUCAAUUGAAUGAAGAAAGUUAAAGCAAAAAGGAUUGUCACGCCAUACCCCUUUACAUGGAAAGGCCUUUCCCCCCAAGCUCAAACAACCCAACCUGAAGUCUUUCGACGGGAGAGGGCUUGGUCUAUGAAAGUGGUAAUCAU
rnacentral:lncRNA from 1 species